AAUGGGGGAGGAGGCUCCUUUGCAUCCAGAAAACCUGGACCGAUGUAAAAUAUAAAAUUGAGUGGAGAGAGCAAGAGAGAGUGAACAAGUUCUUCCUUCUCCACCCUCCCAUCCCCAGGCUCUUGGUAGUCCAGGGAAGAGUGAGGACCACAGAUAGGAGCCACAAAAAAAAGUAUAGUCUCUUCUGGGAACUUUUGCUUCAUGUUGAAGCUGAGGUACUGCACGCCUACAUGAGCUUCUUUCAUUCAUCUGUGCUCCUCCGGUCACCCUGCCAUUGCUGCCUGGGAGAUGUUCUGUGGCAUAAAUCUGCUCCUCAGUGCGUGUUGGUAUCAGCGCAUCAGCUCUGCUACACAGGUAAAGCAACAACAGAAAGAGAAGAGAAAUGAGAUUAUGGUUAAUAAAUUUCAGCAAAUGACAUGAAAGCUGCAAUCUUAAUUUAGGCCUAAAGAUCCGAAAGGACUAUUUCAGCAGUGGCAGAAUCUUCUUUUGUGAGUUCUGUGCACAACACAGAAUCAUAGAAUCAUUUAGGUUGGAAAAGACCUUUAAGAUCAUCAAGUCCAACUCUAA